rnacentral:misc_RNA from 1 species
GAGGCUGCACAAAAUGUUUGCCCAGCUCGAUUUCUCUUUUGAGCAGGACUGAGCAGGUAUAAUCCCCCACUGAUGGCAAUGCUUUUAUCAGCUGAACAGGAACUUAAAACACCCAAUGCUUGAGAAGGUGGUUUAUCAAAAUUUGGUAAUUCACCAUUUGAGUGGCAAGAAACAGACAUAGACUUGGCCCGAGGCCAUGACAAUUUAUGAUUGGAAACAGAAAAUCUCAUCUGUGGACGAGCAGCAGAGAAGGUUGCCGCCUCCAUAACCUGGAUUUUAUGAAUUAUAAUAAUAAGCUAAUAGAAAAGAACUAUUAAAAAAAAAAUUCAAAGAGAAGAAGCAAAGAAGAUUAGGAUUGAAGAAGUCGGAAUGAAAUGAAAAAUGGUAAGAGAUCUUAUUCUUAUAUAAUAAUAAAAUAAAAGUUUGAAAGGUACAAGUCAAAAAUGCUAAAACGUUCUUCAAUGUCGGUUUUAGGUUAGGUAAGUCGUUUCCUG